rnacentral:rRNA from 1 species
UACAGGCUUAACACAUGCAAGUCGAGGGGCAGCAUGGUCUUAGCUUGCUAAGGCCGAUGGCGACCGGCGCACGGGUGAGUAACACGUAUCCAACCUGCCGUCUACUCUUGGACAGCCUUCUGAAAGGAAGAUUAAUACAAGAUGGCAUCAUGAGUCCGCAUGUUCACAUGAUUAAAGGUAUUCCGGUAGACGAUGGGGAUGCGUUCCAUUAGAUAGUAGGCGGGGUAACGGCCCACCUAGUCUUCGAUGGAUAGGGGUUCUGAGAGGAAGGUCCCCCACAUUGGAACUGAGACACGGUCCAAACUCCUACGGGAGGCAGCAGUGAGGAAUAUUGGUCAAUGGGCGAGAGCCUGAACCAGCCAAGUAGCGUGAAGGAUGACUGCCCUAUGGGUUGUAAACUUCUUUUAUAAAGGAAUAAAGUCGGGUAUGGAUACCCGUUUGCAUGUACUUUAUGAAUAAGGAUCGGCUAACUCCGUGCCAGCAGCCGCGGUAAUACGGAGGAUCCGAGCGUUAUCCGGAUUUAUUGGGUUUAAAGGGAGCGUAGAUGGAUGUUUAAGUCAGUUGUGAAAGUUUGCGGCUCAACCGUAAAAUUGCAGUUGAUACUGGAUAUCUUGAGUGCAGUUGAGGCAGGCGGAAUUCGUGGUGUAGCGGUGAAAUGCUUAGAUAUCACGAAGAACUCCGAUUGCGAAGGCAGCCUGCUAAGCUGCAACUGACAUUGAGGCUCGAAAGUGUGGGUAUCAAACAGGAUUAGAUACCCUGGUAGUCCACACGGUAAACGAUGAAUACUCGCUGUUUGCGAUAUACGGCAAGCGGCCAAGCGAAAGCGUUAAGUAUUCCACCUGGGGAGUACGCCGGCAACGGUGAAACUCAAAGGAAUUGACGGGGGCCCGCACAAGCGGAGGAACAUGUGGUUUAAUUCGAUGAUACGCGAGGAACCUUACCCGGGCUUAAAUUGCAGAUGAAUUACGGUGAAAGCCGUAAGCCGCAAGGCAUCUGUGAAGGUGCUGCAUGGUUGUCGUCAGCUCGUGCCGUGAGGUGUCGGCUUAAGUGCCAUAACGAGCGCAACCCUUGUUGUCAGUUACUAACAGGUUCCGCUGAGGACUCUGACAAGACUGCCAUCGUAAGAUGUGAGGAAGGUGGGGAUGACGUCAAAUCAGCACGGCCCUUACGUCCGGGGCUACACACGUGUUACAAUGGGGGGUACAGAGGGCCGCUACCACGCGAGUGGAUGCCAAUCCCAAAAACCUCUCUCAGUUCGGACUGGAGUCUGCAACCCGACUCCACGAAGCUGGAUUCGCUAGUAAUCGCGCAUCAGCCACGGCGCGGUGAAUACGUUCCCGGGCCUUGUACACACCGCCCGUCAAGCCAUGGGAGCCGGGGGUACCUGAAGUGCGUAACCGCGAGGAGCGCCCUAGGGUAAAACUGGUGACUGGGGCUAAGUCAUAACAAGG